CAUGAUCUUGGUAUACCAUACAACCUUGAUAAAAGCUUUUGAGCAUCCCAUGUAACUGCUCUCUUUAGGCGUUGUUAUAUAUAAAUGAGGCGGAGUGCAAAGCUGUUUGUAGAUAUUUUGAAGUCUUCUCGAAUGAAAGCUUUCUAACUUCCUAUUGAACACCGGGUACAAAGAAGAAAUUCCUGAAUAAAUUUACAAAGCGCAGUUGAAUCCUUCGUUUUGUUUUAUGCACUUCACAAAGUUGCUGUUAUUAUUGUGUAAAAGCAGAGCCUAUCCGUUAGUCGUAAUGACAUGUUCCUUGACCUCAAAAGUGGAUGAACGAGUAUGUGGUUUUCCUUCCUCACUCUCGUACCAAUCGAUGAAAUGGACUUUCCCCUGUGGUGCACUGGCUUUGCGGUUUAUGAAUUUUACGUGUAAUUGGUGAUUCGGUGAUGUUAAACUCAAACAAAAAUUUGUGGUUAUAUUCGUGGAAAUGAUGAAAUGCCUUGUACACACCUUAAUAUUGCACCUUGAAAUGACUUGGAGCUUGAUCGUAAUUAUUGGAAACCUUAGAAAUUGAAUUAUGCCAAUAAGGCUUACAUAAAUCGUUUACUAUCAUUAAUUAAGUCUAUCUACGCACCUAGAGUAACUAAAAGCAAAAUUUCAAGUAAACGGCUCCACUGCAUCAACUAAUUCAAUGUGGUCUAUCAAUAACUACUCAAGUUAGCGGAGAAUAGCAUAUCUAAAUCUAUUAAGAUAAAUACUAUAGUUGCAGGCAUAAGAGUUACGUCUUCCACUCAUGUAUUUGAUGCAUGGACAAGCAAAGAGAGUUUGCCUCCUUACAACUCGAAAAAUACAUUAUCCAAAGACUCGUGAGACUGCAAAAAUAAAACCAAUCGACUAGCUUUAAUGAAUAGAAUGGAAAAAUCUCAUCACUGCUCUUUCCAAAUCCGCCGUCACCCUAAGCUCCACUUCUUUCGGUCAUUCCCUAAAAUUGAUAGUCUUCUCCCUCCUCUGCUUCUCAAAAACAGGUAAGGAUGCUCAGAAUCACACAAACCAAAAACAAUAUCCAAACAGAACCACCUGCAUAUCAAAAAUAGUAUCCGUCUGUAGAGAACUUCUAAUGGAGGCAAGUAAUUAAGGAAACUAGUUGUCUUAUGCACUGGGAUUAGCACAUGGGUCUCUACUCAAGCUCAGGAGACCAGCAGAAGGUUCUCCUGUGUAUGGAAAUUCUUUUCAAAAACAACACUAAUAUGACUUCUUUAUGUUCUAAUCCAUCAUGCAGAAUUUCCCGGAAACAGGACUGCAGAUGAGGGUUUGAGUUAACCAGGGAUCACAAAAUGUGGCUGAUCAUUGUAUGACGUGCAGAAAGAUGUGAUGUGAACACAAGUUAAUGGAUUUUCCCAGGAAGAAAAUGUGUUCCAUAUCAUACACAAAUAUGUGCAACUUUUAUAGCAUUAAGCAAGCAAUGGAGAAAGUAAGCAAUGGAGCAGUUAAGCAUAGAAAGUAUUGAGGGUAAAAAGUACGAGGGUAAAAUCAUUUUUCAUGCAUAAAAUCUGAAAUGAGAAACCAUCUCAUUUUUCAUCAUCAUCACCCCAAGCAUCCUUGAUCAUUUUUUGCCUUGUAACUAUGCGAUUCUUUCUGGCUUCUUCCUGAUUCCUCAACUCUCUAGAUCCAAAAUUUGUAGAAGGCAGCUUCUUUCCCAUUCCUUGUGCAAUCAACCUUUGUGCAGUUCUUGUUGAUGUCUGUGGCCUUUGGCGAGGAGGUUCCAGAUCUUUUCAAAUCGCAAUGGGAGGAGUAGCAUCAUCUGUUGAAGGUGAGACCGGAAUAGGUGAUGAUGGAGGGCAAGAGUCACCAGGAGCCAGUGUUGCACCUCUUGCAGGAAUUGAACCCAGAAGGAUAUCAUCCUCAUCAAGAAUACGCACUACAAAUGGACAUUGAACAUGGUUCUGGGCCUCAAGAGCAAUGGAUGGUGUUUGGAAUACUGCAAGGGCCACUGUAUCAUUUACCCAGCGAAUGACAAAUCCACGACUUGCAAAGUCCUGGAAAAGCUUCUCAAGCUCUAUUGUCCUCGUACUUGGUGGAAAGUCAGAUAGAACAAGAACAUGGUGUGUGCCAUAUUUACAAUGUAUUGAUUCUAGAUUCUGUUGUUUACUUUUGCAUGAAUCAUCCUCCUCUUUGUCACUAGAAAAAGACGUAUAAGACUGCCGAUCACUAUAAAGUUUGUCUUCUUUGUAUGAGAAUGUUCCCCUUCCACGUCGCUUGGGGCCUUUAACUUUAUUUUCCUUCAAUGAAAGGUUUGAUACACUAGGUAAGCCUUGUGGGGAGAGUAAUUCAUUGGGAGCACGAUCUGCGAUAGCUUCCCAAUCAUCAUCUGAAGAUCCUUUGCAAGGAGAAGCAUCAUCAGGCAGUCUAAACGAUUCCUCAAGAUGCCCUUUUAUACAAGGCCCAUCAAUAACUGAAUCACUAGAAGAUAAAGCGGCAUUGGACUUUGAAUUUGACACCACAUCUUCGAUCAAGUGCUUCGUCACAUCUUCCGCACUAGAAGGGCGAGACUGAAGGGCGAGUUGUUUGAGGACCGAAGCGCGAGAGAGAAGCUCGUCGGAUUUGAGAGAGAAGUGCUUGGUGGAAUAGAGCUUGGACAAUUCAGUAAAGGCAGAAGCCAAUUGGAGAUCAAGCGUUUCAGAUCGGCUCAGGGUUUCAAGUUUUGAAACCACCGUUUCAAGGAGAGAGAUUGCGCCGUCUGUGUCCCCGGCUGUCACAAGAUCUUCAACUGACUCGCUCCAGUUUAGACUGGGUUGUUGUUCAAUAGCUUCGCCUUGUUCCAUUUAGGCAAAUUCAGUUAAAUUUGCGACUUCAAAUGGAGUAUGUAAGAGCGACAGGCAGCAAUUGAAUUCCAAGCACAAAACCACUUUUGGGAUUCUUCCGACAGGAGAACAGAACAAGCAAAAACCUAUAGUUGCGACUUGAUUUCAGAUCACUCCCAGUCUCAACUAGACUCCAAAAUUUC
rnacentral:misc_RNA from 1 species